rnacentral:rRNA from 1 species
AGAGAGAGACAUGCGCGCAUAUCAAUAAGCGGAGGAAAGGAAACUAACAAGGAUUCCCUUAGUAACGGCGAGUGAAGCGGGAAGAGCUCAAAUUUGAAAUCUUCAAGGUUUUACCUUGACGAAUUGUAGUUUAAAGAAGUGUUUUCUGCUGAAGUUUUGGUAAAAGUUCUUUGGAAUAGGACAUCAUAGAGGGUGAGAAUCCCGUAUUUGACCAUUAUUUCCAGCUUUGUGAUACACUUUCAAAGAGUCGGAUUGUUUGGGAAUGCAGUCCAAAAUGGGUGGUAAAUUUCAUCUAAAGCUAAAUAUUGGCGAGAGACCGAUAGCGAACAAGUACCGUGAGGGAAAGAUGAAAAGAACUUUGAAAAGAGAGUUAAACAGUACGUGAAAUUGUCAAAAGGGAAGCGUUUGACACCAGUGUUGUUUUCUCGAAAAUCAAUUAAAAAAGGCUCGGAUUUUGUAUUGUUGAUGACCUUAUAAGCUUCACUGUACUAUUUUCUUGUCUUUUUUAAUGCACUUUUCGUUUAACAAGUCAACAUCAGUUUCUUUUGUUGUAAAAGGGUCAUUGGAAGGUGGCUUUCUUUUCGGAGAAAGUGUUUAUAGCCUUUGGCCUCUGCAAUCGGAGAGACCGAGGUCUGCAGCGUAGACUCUUCGGGGUUAGAUACAUUUGUGCUAAGUUAUAGCUUUUUAUAGACAACUUGUUGACUAUAAUUAGUCUUGUAGCUUACUCGCUUAUGCUAUUUUACCUACGCUUAGGAUGUUGAAGAUGUAGCACAUCAU